CCAGGAUGUUUAUUUUCCAUAAGACUCUUACAAGUUUAAUCUCCUCACUGGAAUUUGGUUUGUCUAGUGAAUGUAAAUUCCCUCCCACUGGCACCUGCUAGCUGCUAACAAGAGUGAAGGCACACAUAUGGGAGUUGCUUGCCUGAGGCCAGGGUGCUGGAGCUGAACCAGGAGCCAGGAGUUUAAGGAGACUGUUGGCCUCGUUCUCCCAGCACUUGCAAACAUCUCAGCUUCUGGACUGCUUUUCCAUUGCACCUCAGAAAGGAAUCUUUCACUUUCCAAGACUGAUUUCUCCGUGGGGGUCACCUGAAGUCCCAGGGCUUUAUCCAGCAGAGAAAUGCAGACAGGCAACUUCAUGUGCAGCUGUGUGACCGCUGGUUUCAAGGAGCACUGCAGAUGUAUUUGCAUUUAUGCCACUGCAGGAUCAGUUCAUGGUCGUUUAUUUUACUUAGGUGUGCUUGCAACAAAGCAAGGAUGGAAAGUGUUUUAUUUUAUGUGGAAAAGAAAAUGGGAGGAGAAGAGGAAAAAUGAUGCAGUCAUCAGAAAAUUAUUUGAAACAAUAACAAAGUGUUAAUAGUCUAAUGAAGAGGAGAGAUGGAACACAAACCUACAAAGCUUGUUGUAUGGUUGUAUUUUGUUUAAUAAGAGAAUAUAUUUUUAAGUGAA